rnacentral:rRNA from 1 species
AAUCCUGGCUCAGGAUGAACGCUAGCUACAGGCUUAACACAUGCAAGUCGAGGGGCAGCAUGGUCUUAGCUUGCUAAGGCUGAUGGCGACCGGCGCACGGGUGAGUAACACGUAUCCAACCUGCCGUCUACUCUUGGCCAGCCUUCUGAAAGGAAGAUUAAUCCAGGAUGGCAUCAUGAGUUCACAUGUCCGCAUGAUUAAAGUAAUUUCGUUACGACGA